UACGUAGGGUGCGAGCGUUGUCCGGAAUUAUUGGGCGUAAAGGGCUCGUAGGCGGUCUAUUGCGUCAGGAGUGAAAACUCGGGGCUUAACCCCGAGCCUGCUUCUGAUACGGGCAGACUAGAGGUAUGCAGGGGAGAACGGAAUUCCUGGUGUAGCGGUGAAAUGCGCAGAUAUCAGGAGGAACACCGGUGGCGAAGGCGGUUCUCUGGGCAUUACCUGACGCUGAGGAGCGAAAGUGUGGGGAGCAAACAGG
rnacentral:rRNA from 1 species